GGAGAACCUGGAGUUUCAGGCAUUGGUCUCCCUGGUCUUCCUGGUCCAAAGGGUGAACCUGGUCUGCCUGGAUAUCCAGGAAACCCAGGUAUCAAAGGUUCUAUGGGCGAGGCUGGUCUGCCUGGCUUACCAGGAAGCCCUGGAGCAAAAGGUCAACCCGGCCUGCCCGGAUUCCCAGGAACACCAGGGCUUCCUGGACCAAAGGGUAUGAAUGGUCCUCCUGGUAACCCUGGCCUUCCAGGAGAACCUGGUCCUGUAGGUGGUGGAGGGCGUCCUGGACCACCAGGACCUCCUGGUGAAAAAGGCAAGCCAGGUCAAGAUGGCAUUCCUGGACCAGCAGGACAAAAGGGAGAACCAGGUACUAGAGACUUUGUUUCAUUUUCUUUUUAAUUUUCUAAUUUCCUCAUGGCCUUCUUUGG
rnacentral:lncRNA from 1 species